CCUACGGGGGGCAGCAGUGGGGAAUAUUGGACAAUGGGGGAAACCCUGAUCCAGCGACGCCGCGUGAGUGAAGAAGUAUUUCGGUACGUAAAGCUCUAUCAGCAGGAAAGAAAAUGACGGUACCUGACUAAGAAUCCCUGGCUAAAUACGUGCCAGCAGCCGCGGUAAUACGCAGGGGGCAAGCGUUAUCCGGAUUUACUGGGUGUAAAGGGAGCGUAGACGGCAGCGCAAGUCUGGAGUGAAAUGCCGGGGCCCAACCCCGGAACUGCACUGGAAACUGUGAAGCUGGAGUGCAGGGGAGGUAAGCGGAAUUCGUGGUGUAGCGGUGAAAUGCGUAGAUAUCAGGAAGAACACCGACGGCGAAGGCGGCUUACUGAACUGUAACUGACGUUGAGGCUCGAAGGCGUGGGGAGCAAACAGGAUUAGAUACCCGUGUAGUA
rnacentral:rRNA from 1 species